rnacentral:rRNA from 1 species
GCAGCAGUAGGGAAUCUUCCACAAUGGACGAAAGUCUGAUGGAGCAAUACCAUGUGAACGAUGAAGGCCUUUUUGGUUGUAAAGUUCUUUUACGAGGGAUAAUUAUGAUAGUACUUCGUGAAUAAGUGACAGCAAACUAUGUGCCAGCAGCUGCGGUAAUACAUAGGUCGCGAGCAUUAUUCGGAUUUAUUGGGCGUAAAGCAAGCGCAGGCGGAUGUGUAAGUUCUGUGUUAAAUGCAGCUACUCAAUAGUUGUAUGCACCGAAUACUACAUGUCUAGAUUGUGGUAGGGAGUUUCGGAAUUAAGCAUGGAGCGGUGGAAUGUGUAGAUAUGCUUAAGAACACCAGAGGCGAAGGCGGAAACUUAGGCCAUAAAUGACGCUUAGGCUUGAAAGUGUGGGGAGCAAAUGGGAUUAGAUACCCCAGUAGUCCACACCGUAAACGAUGGGUAUUAGAUAUUAGGGCUUUAGCUUUAGUGUUGUAGCUUACGCGUUAAAUACCCCGCCUGGGUAGUACAUAUGCAAAUAUGAAACUCAAAGGAAUUGACGGGGACCUGAACAAGUGGUGGAGCAUGUUGCUUAAUUCGAUAAUACACGAAAAACCUUACCAAGGUUUGACAUCCCUCGCAAAGCUAUAGAAAUAUAGUAGAGGUUAUCGAGGUGACAGGUGGUGCAUGGCUGUCGUCAGCUCGUGUCUUGAGAUGUUUGGUUAAGUCCCGCAACGAGCGCAACCCCACUCUUUAGUUACUUGUCUAAAGAGACUGCACAGUAAUGUAGAGGAAGGAUGGGAUCACGUCAAGUCAUCAUGCCCCUUAUGCCUUGGGCUGCAAACGUGCUACAAUGGCGAACACAAUGUGUUGCAAACCAGCGAUGGUAAGCUAAUCACC